GGGAACGAGUUGGAGGGAUCCGCGAUGUGAAGGGAGGAGGCGGAACAUUGGAAAGAGGCGUACCCGAGGGAAGAGGCGUAACUACUUAAAAUCAUGUAGGCCUGGGCGUCAUGACCGUCGUGUAAUGUUUAAUAGUAUUGUGGCAGAGAGGAAGAGAAACAAUGGUGGAUCAGACUGCAGGUGUUGCUCAAAAUCCUGAAAUGGCUAACCACUCUGGGGAGCAUUACGAGUCCUUGACUCGGAUCUCCAUCGUUUUGCCCUGUUGUACCACAUAGGCAACAGUAGGAUGUCAUCUCUUCAAGAUCACUUGGACUGUUGCCCAGCACAUCAAACCUGGAACAUGUUCAGAGUUCUCAAGCCUGGAUAUUGAGGCAUAAGACUCAUCAGCUUUGUGAUGGCAUGCAUAGACAGAAAAUAAAGCUUUGAUGUAUUUGCACAUUUUGCAGUACUCCUUGGUAUACUGUCAUGGGGGUUCCAUUUGAUUUGACAGGUCUGAUGGAUUACAUUUUGAGGACCAUCUUCAUUGGAGCUGUUCUUCAGGAUGGGGACUGUGUGAUCCGUGAGCUAGCUCUGACCUGCACCCGUUUUUGGGUUAUAGUCAAGACAAGAGACAUUCCGCAAUGAAGCACACCUUCACUGGCUAGACAGUGUCGUGACCUGGAGUCUGUACUUUCCUGAAUUUAGGAACACUUUCAGAAUCCCCAAUGUCAUUGCCACCUGUGUCCAAUGUCAUAGUGAUAAUAAAGACACAAAAGGUUUUCGGGGACGGUGUAAGAGAGAACUUCUCAAUUUUCAAUCUGCACAAUGGAAUUUUUUUUGGUUUCUGGGGGGACUGAUUAAAAAUAAAUACAUUUGCUUUUUA